rnacentral:rRNA from 1 species
ACGAACGCUGGCGGUGUGCUUAACACAUGCAAGUCGAACGGAAAGGCCCUGCUUUUGUGGGGUGCUCGAGUGGCGAACGGGUGAGUAACACGUGAGUAACCUGCCCUUGACUUUGGGAUAACUUCAGGAAACUGGGGCUAAUACCGGAUAUGAGCUCCUGCUGCAUGGUGGGGGUUGGAAAGUUUCGGCGGUUGGGGAUGGACUCGCGGCUUAUCAGCUUGUUGGUGGGGUAGUGGCUUACCAAGGCUUUGACGGGUAGCCGGCCUGAGAGGGUGACCGGCCACAUUGGGACUGAGAUACGGCCCAGACUCCUACGGGAGGCAGCAGUGGGGAAUAUUGCACAAUGGGCGGAAGCCUGAUGCAGCAACGCCGCGUGCGGGAUGACGGCCUUCGGGUUGUAAACCGCUUUCGCCUGUGACGAAGCGUGAGUGACGGUAAUGGGUAAAGAAGCACCGGCUAACUACGUG